rnacentral:rRNA from 1 species
AACGAACGCUGGCAGCAUGCCUAACACAUGCAAGUCGAACGAGACCUUCGGGUCUAGUGUCGCACGGGUUCGUAACGCGUGGGAACCUGCCCUUAGGUUCGGAAUAACUCCCCGAAAGGGGUGCUAAUACCGGAUAAUGUCUUCGGACCAAAGAUUUAUCGCCUUUGGAUGGGCCCGCGUUGGAUUAGCUAGUUGGUAGGGUAAAAGCCUACCAAGGCGACGAUCCAUAGCUGGUCUGAGAGGAUGAUCAGCCACACUGGGACUGAGACACGGCCCAGACUCCUACGGGAGGCAGCAGUGGGGAAUAUUGGACAAUGGGCGAAAGCCUGAUCCAGCAAUGCCGCGUGAGUGAUGAAGGCCUUAGGGUUGUAAAGCUCUUUUACCCGGGAUGAUAAUGACAGUACCGGGAGAAUAAGCUCCGGCUAACUCCGUG